rnacentral:lncRNA from 1 species
GCGUGUCUCAGGCAGCGCAGGUGGAACAGCUGCCUAGCUCCGCACAAUCCGCCAUGUACCCUGGGCCGCGUCACGCACGUCCCCGGGCGGCCAGGCGUCUCUCUAAGGCUGGGGGAAGCAGAUUUUAGAAAGAGCCAGCUCAUUGCACAAUUCAGCUUUAAGGAUUGCAAAAUGACUACAGCCUCUAGGAUUUUUGCCUGAAACGCCGAGAGAGAGUCGCCAAUCCCUAGGCUGCGUUUUGCUGCAAGGACUCUUUCCCCGCCCCCUCCCCGGGCUGCACGGUCCUUCUGCUUCGCGAAAGUAAAAAACUGGGCCAGAUGAGAAGAAACCAAGGCAAAGGAUUCCAGAUUCUCAGUCAGCCAGUAUCUGAACCUGUCACACUCACUCCUGUCUUCAGUUGCUGCAGGACUUGGCGUAUAGCCUGCUCCUCUCAGGGUCAAUUACCUUGUGGAAGCCUUGGAAAGCAGAGGUCACCAUUGUCCCUAUGAAGUUCGAAUCAAGGGUUCCCUUAACCCCAAGGGAGGGAUUUGACGCAGACAUUCCUUUAGAGGCAUAGAGGCCAGAGGAGGAUGUCACGUGUGCUGUUCCAUCACUGUCUGCCUUUCCUCUUGAGGCGUAUCUCUUCACUGAGUCUGAAGUUGGGCUAAUGGGCACAGACGGAUCAAGGUGUGUGGUCAGCUCAUCCAAACUCUGCCCCUCCUCCCGGACCUGUGAGUCGGCGUCCUCCCUAGAAAGAUUCUUCUUAUGUGGUUGUCCCUGGCGACCUGAGCCAAAACAUUUGAAGCCAGUUUGAGCUUUUUGUUGCCUGCAAAACAUUAAAAAGUACCAGAAGUGUCUCUCCUAAUCAGAGACUGGCUAUGUGGAGGAAUAAAAACGGUGAAACUGUUUGAUUCUUCAUCUUCUUCCUGGACAUGUUCACUGACCACUUGACUAUGAAGCCCAAGCAUAGGAUUUAUUUUCUUUUUCUGGAAAAGUAAGAAAGUGGCAAAUGUAAUUUAAAAAUUUCAGAUUUUUAUGGCAACUUAUAGAUGUAUUUCUAUUAUAAUAAGUUUAUGUUCUCAUCAAGAAAGCAAUAUAACCAAAUACACUUUAAUAAUAAAUUGCAAAUUUAUUAUUAUUUAUGUAUAAUAAUAAUAAAAAUGCAAAACUAUAUGCUUUGUUUUGGGAUGGUACAC